rnacentral:lncRNA from 1 species
GGACUUUGGGAUUUGGGACAAUGUAGAUUUGUGUGAGUGCACAUUAAGUCUCAUUGCAAAAUAGAAAAAAAAAAGUUAGGAAAAAGGAGCAAGAAGUUAUUCUUUUAAAGUAGAGACUGCCUUACUCAUCGUAGCACCUAGCACCUGGCGUAAUGCUGGCAUAUGGUAUGCACAUAAUUAAUAUAAAUUGAGCGAACGAAUGCAGGAAUGGGUGCAUGCCUCCUGCUUCACCAUCAGGAUAUUCUUGUUGGGAUAAUGGUAACUCACAUUUAUAUAGCAGUUUAGACUUUACAAUGUGGUGCUUUGCACCUUGUAAAUUUCUAAUAUAAUUCCAACAUCCUUGGUUACUUCCAGUUUUCCGUCUCACAUGUAGUCCUACACAAGGUUUUUUUCCAAAGGAGAAUAUGUAGUUAAUUGGCCAAGAAAUUGCAAGCUGGGGGAAAAAUUAUAAAUACUGGGAAAUAAAGGAUUCUUCAUAGGGAACGAAACAGGGUUUGUUAAUGAUUUAUGGGAAUUAUGUGAAGGGCCACAUUAUGCAUCAACAAUACCCUCCAGCCUAUAUUUCAAGCACAUGCAGUUUUUUGCCGCAGUGCUUCUGCUGCAAAGACCUACCCCCACUUCUCUUAGCCUGUCUGUCCCCACUCCAUACCCCCGACCUUUCAUCCAGCUGGCCUGUGCUUGCUAAAGCUCCCUUUAUCCUUUCCCAGCUCCCUUUCCAUGUUGGAGUAGGUUCCCCCCUUCCAUGCUCUCAUAGCACCCUGCAACCUUAUUAGGCUGUAAUUAUUACAUAGUUAGAUUGAUCUCCAACUAGAUUGUCAUCUCUUUGGUGGAGAGAUUACGUUCUUGUGUAUCUUCAGUGCCUGACACAGAAGUGUUUCUAAAAGUAACAUCUGCACACCCCUCAAACAGAAUCACAAGGGGCGAGGCCAAGAAAUCUGCUCUCCAAGUGAUAACUUAAACUUUUUAACAUGCUCUUCAGGUGACACUUAAACUUGUUUGAAAACCUCUGUGUCAUAAAACUAAAUAUUAGCUG